rnacentral:tRNA from 1 species
GCCUUCGUGGUGUAAUGGUUAAGCACGCUGGACGCGUAUCUCAGAGGUCCGUGGUUCGAGUCCUCAUGAAGGCG